GUUGAUGUAGCUUAAAUGAAAAGCGUAGCACUGAAGAUGCUAAGAUGAGCCCUCAUAAGCUCCAACAACA
rnacentral:tRNA from 1 species